rnacentral:rRNA from 1 species
AGCGAACGCUGGCGGCAGGCCUAACACAUGCAAGUCGAACGAACCUUUCGGGGUUAGUGGCGGACGGGUGAGUAACACGUGGGAACGUGCCUUUAGGUUCGGAAUAACUCAGGGAAACUUGUGCUAAUACCGAAUGUGCCCUUCGGGGGAAAGAUUUAUCGCCUUUAGAGCGGCCCGCGUCUGAUUAGCUAGUUGGUUGAGGUAAUGGCUCACCAAGGCGUCGAUCAGUAGCUGGUCUGAGAGGAUGAUCAGCCACAUUGCGACUGAGACACGGCCCAAACGCCUACGGGAGGUAGCAGUGGGGAAUCUUGCGCAAUGGGCGAAAGCCUGACGCAGCCAUGCCGCGUGAAUGAUGAAGGUCUUAGGAUUGUAAAAUUCUUUCAACGGGGAGGAUAAUGACGGAACCCGGAGAAGAAGCCCCGGCUAACUUCGU